CGCCGUUUCGGGAACGGCCCGGCAGUUCGCAGCCUCCUAGAUUUGGGGAGGGAGGAGGAUCCCGACAUUGUGUUCUUGGCGGAGACUAAACUGACAGAGAAGGAACUGGAGAGAUUCAGGUGGACUCUUGGUCUUGCCCACUUGGUAGUCUGGAACCCGGAGGGAAGAAGUAGAGGAGUGGCACUUUUUUGGAAGAGGGGUGUUGAU
rnacentral:rRNA from 1 species